rnacentral:rRNA from 1 species
GACGAACGCUGGCGGCGUGCUUAACACAUGCAAGUCGAACGAUGAAACCUAGCUUGCUAGGUCGAUUAGUGGCGAACGGGUGAGUAACACGUGACUAACCUGCCCCUUUCUCUGGGAUAACGCUCCGAAAGGAGUGCUACUACCGGAUACUCACACCGAGGCACAUGCCCUUGUGUGGAAAGUUUUUCGGAAAGGGAUGGAGCCGCGGCCUAUCAGCUUGUUGGUGAGGUAACGGCUCACCAAGGCGACGACGGGUAGCCGGCCUGAGAGGGCGACCGGCCGCACUGGGACUGAGACACGGCCUAGACUCCUACGGGAGGCAGCAGUGGGGAAUAUUGCACAAUGGGCGCAAGCCUGAUGCAGCGACGCCGCGUGAGGGAUGAAGGUCUUAGGGUUGUAAAGCUCUUUCGUCCGGGACGAUAAUGACGGUACCGGAAGAAGAAGCCCCGGCUAACUUCGUGCCAGCAGCCGCAGUAA